rnacentral:rRNA from 1 species
UACGUAGGGAGCGAGCGUUGUCCGGAAUUACUGGGCGUAAAGGGCGCGUAGGCGGCCCGUUAAGUCAGGUGUGAAAUACCACGGCUCAACCGUGGGGCUGCAUCUGAAACUGGCGGGCUUGAGGGCAGGAGAGGAGAGCGGAAUUCCUAGUGUAGCGGUGGAAUGCGUAGAUAUUAGGAGGAACACCAGUGGCGAAGGCGGCUCUCUGGACUGCUACUGACGCUGAGGCGCGAAAGCCAGGGGAGCAAAC